CGCGGAGUAGAACAGCAUUGAUAGUUCGCAAGGUUGAUAACCUUGAGGUCACGGGUUCAAAUCCCGUCUCCGCAA
rnacentral:tRNA from 1 species